rnacentral:rRNA from 1 species
AARCUCUGUUGUUAGGGAAGAACAAGUACCGUUCGAAUAGGGCGGUACCUUGACGGUACCUAACCAGAAAGCCACGGCUAACUACGUGCCAGCAGCCGCGGUAAUACGUAGGUGGCAAGCGUUGUCCGGAAUUAUUGGGCGUAAAGSGCKCGCAGGCGGUUUCUUAAGUCUGAUGUGAAAGCCCCCGGCUCAACCGGGGAGGGUCAUUGGAAACUGGGGAACUUGAGUGCAGAAGAGGAGAGUGGAAUUCCACGUGUAGCGGUGAAAUGCGUAGAGAUGUGGAGGAACACCAGUGGCGAAGGCGACUCUCUGGUCUGUAACUGACGCUGAGGMGCGAAAGCGUGGGGAGCGAACAGGAUUAGAUACCCUGGUAGUCCACGCCGUAAACGAUGAGUGCUAAGUGUUAGRGGGUUUCCGCCCYUUAGUGCUGCAGCWAACGCAUUAAGCACUCCGCCUGGGGAGUACGGUCGCAAGACUGAAACUCAAAGGAAUUGACGGGGGCCCGCACAAGCGGUGGAGCAUGUGGUUUAAUUCGAAGCAACGCGAAGAACCUUACCAGGUCUUGACAUCCUCUGACAAYCCUAGAGAUAGGGCUUCCCCUUCGGGGGCAGAGUGACAGGUG